rnacentral:lncRNA from 1 species
UCCACUGUUCUUCCUGAUGCUUUUCUUUGGUAGCUUACCACAUCUCUGACGGCUUGCAAGAAAUGCCGUCAGACUCAUAUCAGCUCACUUGUACCAGAUUUUAUUUAUUUUUUUCAUCUUUUCUAUGUUUUCCUCCAAUCUUUGCUACAACUACAAUAUCACAAGAAAACGAUCAAAACAACCAAAAGUUGCUUAAGACUUCGUAAUUAUUUAGAGUUAAAAGCCUCAAAUGUGUUAGCAUCUGCUCACACAUCAAUACACUUACUAACUUGAACCUUUAGGAGUAGUUUAGUUUGAAAACAAGGUAUAUCGGGAUUAGUUAUGUUAGGAUAAGUUAUGAUGGGAUAAGUUAUACAGCGUUUGGUUUGUUGUAUUCAAAGUAACAUGAAUGGAAUAAUUUCUAGGAAUAAAUUGAUUGAUUACCAAAAAUAACCUACAUCUUAUUUAACUUUUUAUAUAUAUAUGUUUCUUUUUUAAGCUUUAAAUAUUCAUUCUUAAAAUUUUUUUAUUAGUCCUAAGAUAAGUUAUCCCAAAUAUUUACAACCAAACGAGUGAGUUACAUUUUUAUCUCGGGAUUAUUAUUUUAUCUCGGGAUUAUUGACUCUAGUCCCGCAAACCAAACGGCCCCUUACUCUUAGAAGAUGCACUUUCUAAUCAUAUCAUUCUAUUUAACCCCUAGGAAAUGCACUUUAUUGUUUGGGUAAUUAAAGUUUUAUUUGUUAGGUGAGACACUUUCAAACUUGAACAUUCACUCCUAGAAGGCGUACUUUCUAGUUGAGUCCUUCCAUUUAAUCCCUAGGAGACUUACUUACUAGUUUGGGCAAUUCAAGUUUUGUUUGUUAGAUGAUACACUUCCUAAUUUGAACCUUCACUCUUAGAAGACGCACUUUCUAGUCGAGUCCUUCUAUUUAAUCUCUAGGAGACGCACUUCCUUGUCUAGGUAAUUUAGGUUUCAUUUGCUAGGUGACACACUUUCUAAUUUUAACUAUUACUCCUAGAAGACGUAUUUUCUAGUUAGAGUCCUUCAUGUUAACUCAUAGGAGAUGCACUUUCCGAUUUUGAUCGUCAAUUUUACUCUCAAGAGACGCAUUUCUUUGUUAAAUAGCUAAUUUACCUUUUUCUUUUGCAUUUUGAAACUAGCUAUGGUUUGGAUGACACGCAUUAAAUUUAUCUGAUAAUAAACUGGGGCAAAAAAGUUUUUAUUUCUGAAAAAUGGAACUUUACUUUCUGUUCAGGACCCUUUUGGAUAAUGGAAUUUUAUUUUCAGCCCAGGAUCUUCCUAGAUAAUGGAACUUUAAUUGUAGCUCAGGACCUUCCUAUAUAAUGAGACUUUAUUUUUCAGCUCAGGACGCUACUGAAUAAUAGGAUUUUAAUUUCAGCUCAGGUCCCUUCUAGAUAAUAGGACUUUACUUUUCAGCUCAGGACCUUCCUUGAUAAUAGGACUUUACAUUUCAGAUCAGGACCCUCCUAGUUAAUGAGAUUUUAUUUUUAGCUUAGUACCCUCUAAGAUAAUGGGUCUUUACUUUUCAGCUCAGAACCCUCUUGGAUAAUGGAAAUUUAUUUUCAUCUCAGGACUCUCCUACAUUAUGGGAUUUUAUUUUUUUCUCAGGACCCUCCUGGAUAAUGGAAUUUUACUUUUCAGCUCAGGACCCUCUUGGAUAAUGAGUUUUUAUUUUCAUCUUAGGACCCUCCAGCUCAGGCCCCUCCUAGAUAAUGGGAUUACUUUUCUAGUUUACUAUUUACUUUGAGUUCAGGAGCACGUUUAUAGAAUAGGAAGUACUUUCAGUUUUAAAGCUCAGGAUGCUUGCUAGGAGAAUAAAUUCUUUUUUAUUUCAAGCUCAGGAUCCCACCUGGUGACUAGAGAGAUUUUUAUUUUUCAAAGUCAGAAGUGGCAGUCUGACGAUAGGUCAAUUUUCAAGUUCAUCUCCAACACCAAGAGUCAACAUAGAGGAACAUUUAAUUUUUCAAGUUUAACUCAAAAUAACGACUAUCUCACCCCUUGAGAAGUCUUGAAGAUUCAAGUCAAGAUUCUAGAAAAACUACAUAGAUAGGACAUUUCACUUGUAUCUUCAUUUUUUAUUUUGUUUUUUAUUUGAAUUUGAAAAAUAAAUGUCGUGAAUCAGAGAUUCGAGGAGACCUCACUUGACCUCUAACUCAUUGUAUCACUAUUUUACCUUUUUGAACUAUACAUGACUUGAUUCCCUUAUAAUUUAGAAUAUGUAGGCGGUCCAAAAUUAAGACUCAGUCGCAUCCCCUUCUUCUUUCUUCUACCUUUUCAAAUUACCACAGGGUCAAAACUUAUCUUGUUGUCUACUUCUUUGUAUGAAAAUACUUAGUAUUUUCAAAACAAAGAGGAGCAAAUAUAGACACGUGAUGUUUUAUCCUCUCGGAACGUUAACAUAUUUUUUGGCACUAAUCAUUUAUUUACAUUAAAAUAUUAUUUAAAUUUUAUGUCAUUUUUCUAGUAGCUUUCAUUUUAAUAAAUUGUGAAAAAGAAUUCAAACAUAGAGUUAUAUUUUAGGAUAUGUUUUAUUUUUAUUUUUCAAAUAAUAAGAAAUUUUUUAAAAAUAUAUUUUUUUAUUUAAAUUUUAAUAAAUAAGCUAGCAGUUUUAGUAUUUUCUUAUUUAUCUUUUAUUUUAGGCUCAUUAUAAACCUUUCUUAUAUUUUCUUUGUAUAAAAAUUAAUUAGUUAAUAUUUUUAUCGUUAUUAUUAUUAUUAGUAUUAUUUUAUUUUUAUCUUUUUUUAAAAAAACAAUUAAAAUCUUAUCCUAAACUACCCAACUCCCCACGUCUCCCUAAACCUCUCCCCACAACCCCCAUUUUCUCCCACAUCCUAGAAAUCCCAUGUUCAUCCAUAUCACAAUGCACACGCAGCACUAUAUAUUAACACAUACAAACAACAAAAAAUAGAGAUAAAAAAAGGGAAGGGAUAGACAGUGAGAAGAUAUUAGAGACAAUUUAGGAGAAAAAUUAAGAGAAAAAAAAUCAAAGUGAAAAAAAGUAUCAAAAAAUGCGAAGGGGGACACACAUAAAAAAGAAGAAAAGAGCAGUAGAAGCAAAAGGAUAAAAAAGGUAAGAGUGAAAGAGAGCAAAAUCGGAGAGCAAGAAAAAGAUAAGAAAAACAUAAACAAAAAACAAGAACGCAUAAGAGAAAAAUAAAAAGAGAAAACAAAAGAGGAAGAGUUGAGUUAAGAGUUUUGAUUUGAGAUUUUUAAUUCGUGGCUUUUGAAAGUUAGCUAUUUAUUAACUUUGAAAAUCAGAAUAUCAUAGGAGCUUUUGAUGUGAAUAUAAUCAUGUUGUUUAUUCAUGUGGUAACAUGGAAUCAUUUUUUUUUUCUUUCAUAUUUUCACCAACAAAUAGCUAAUUUACAAAAUAAAAUGUUGUUCGUAACAGAUUUUUUGUCACCUUUGGAACAUCAUUUCAUAUGAUCUCACAAUUAUGAAAAUAUGUCCUUCGAUGUGUUCUUUCAUUUUGUCUCUUUGCUCGAUAUGCAGAACUCUCACUUGAAGUAAUUAGAGUUUGUCCCUAUUUAGCCAUGUCUGAAAUAGAAAUAAAGAAAUAAUCAGAAUAGUUAUACCAUUCAAUGUGACAACUUAUGCCAUAAUUGAUUGUAGAAGGUAAAAUUUGUUAAAGGGGUUAAAUAAAUUUCUAAGACUUAGUAACAUAUAAAUAACACUAUUAUUCAUGAAACUUUAAAAUCAUAACUCACUCAUUUUUAAACCAUUUUACAUGAUAAUAUAUCAACAUAAUUUUCUAAAUGAGGAGAUUAUAAAGAUAAAAAAUUUCAUACUGAAAUUUCAAAUCUGAAGAAUACAUAAAACAGAUUUCAAUUUUUGGUCAUAAAGGAAAUAUUCAUUUUCAAUCAACCAAAUUGUAAAAACAAUUGUUGAGGCCUCUAUUUUGUGAUAAUAAAUUAUGAAUUUUAUAAAAAUAAAUUUAUGAGUCUCAAUUGCACGCUAUUAGGCCAAAAAAGCCAUAAAAAUUUAGCUUUUAGAAGCUCACUUGUCAUAGAAGCCAAGCUUUGCUUCCCUUUAAGCCAAAAAAUAGAAAAUAUCAAAAAUUGACUUUUAAUAGGCUAUUAUUCACGACUUUGGAUUAAAAAGGACAAAUAAGUUUUCCAAUUAAGUGAGAGUCCUCCAAGUUUUUAAAAUUAGGUGGGAGGAAUAAAUUUUUUUUUGAGUUUUUCCGUUUGAACAACUUCUCUCAGUUGUUGAACAAUUAGACGUAGUUGUUCGACAACUUUGAGAAGUUGUUCAACAACUAUCAAAGUUGUUCAACAACUGCGCAAGUUAUUCAACGACUAGGCGCAGUUGUCAAACAACUACGCGUAGUUGUUGAACAACUAGGCGUAAUUGUUCAACAACUGAGGAAAGUUGUUCAACAACUAUGCGAAGUUAUUCGAAAAACUAAUGUAGUUGUCAAAAAACUAUCCCAGUUGUUCAAGAGACUUAAUUUUUUUAAGUGACAAUUUUAUGGGACCCACUUAUCCCCUUUUUUCAAUUGAAAACUUGAAAUGCCCUUGUCGCACAUUUUUCUUCUAUUAUUCACCGUAUAUAAUUUUAAGAAUUGCACUACAAAAUAAUAUCAUCACAAGCUUGAUAACAUUCUGAUCCAAACAUAAAGCUCAUAAUCAGUUAACCAACAGCACUAUCAAAUUUCAAGAGUAGGAUAGUUUGUGUAGCUGUUUGUCUAUGAAAAUAUUUUUUUUUUGAAAAAUUAUUUUACUUUAGUGAAAAAAGUAAAAAUAAGAUGUGUUUGGUCAUAAAAAUUUCAAAUAUAAUAUUGUAUUUAGAAAAGUGAAAACAAGUUUACUUGUUUUAACUUUUUUCACUCAUACUUCUCUUACAAAUUUUCAAAAACAACUUUAAUCAAAAUUUAAAAAAAAGACAGUCUGGUGCACUAAAACUACCGCUAUGCGCGGUGUCCGGGAAAGAGCCCCACCACAAGUGUGUAUCGUACGCAGCCUUACCUUACAUUUCUGUCAGAGUCUGUUCCCAAGGUUUGAACCCGUGACCUCCUAGUCAUAUGGCAGCAACUUUACCAGUUACUCCAAGACUCCCCUUCUUAAUCAAAAUUUCAAAAACAACUUUAAUUUAUAUUCAUGAUUAAACACAACUCCAACUCCGAAAAAUUAUGAUUUUCAUGACCAAACUGAGCUUGCUUUUUAACAUAUGCGUGUAAGCAGAAGAAGACAUUAAUCACCUAUUAAUAGUUUAUUUUAUAGAGCACAGUGGCACAUAUAUUGUGCAACCGACAAGAAGAAUAAUAUUGUGUGUUUAAAGGAACGAACGCACAAUUUUGACGCUGAAACCAUUGAUGAAAAAUAAUGGAGCGAGAAAAAUGAAUUGUGUACCUUUCUCUGCAGCAGCAUUAUUGACCUCACCAUCAAAACGGAUAUGCCCCCAAUUGAAAAUAAAAUUUUGACCACAAGCUGAAUGUCUUUUUCUUGUAGAUGUUAUUAUGGAAGACGAAACAGAGAAGAAAAUUUUUUUCCUUUUAUAUUUUCAUCCUGUUUUACUAACGGAAGAGAAUAUCUAUUUGAAGAUAAGUUAUUCAAUUUUAAUAAAAA